rnacentral:rRNA from 1 species
UACAGAGACUGCAAGCGUUAUUCGGAUUCACUGGGCGUAAAGGGUGCGCAGGCGGUUGGGUGUGUCAGAUGUGAAAUCCCGAGGCUUAACCUCGGAACUGCGUCUGAAACUACUCGACUAGAGUACUGGAGAGGGAAACGGAAUUCACGGUGUAGCAGUGAAAUGCGUAGAUAUCAGGAGGAACACCGAUGGCGAAGGCAGCUGCCUGGCCUAGAACUGACGCUGAGGUGCGGAAGCGUGGGGAGCGAACAGG